GCCACUCGAGAGCCAUGCUCAGCUUUGUUUACAGCUUUUAAACUAGCUCUUUCAGAAGGCACAAAUGAUUUCUCAGCAAUAAAAUCCCCAGUGGACACAUCUGUUGGCUUGGAUAAUCAGCACAGAUGUUAUUUUUUGAGUAUGAGGCUUUGAUGGAUCCGGAUCUGGAAAGGAGAGUCACCUGUAAUCAACACAUUAAAUGAAAGACUUGACAAGCUUGCCACUGAAAAACAAUCACGUCC